GACGAACGCUGGCGGCGUGCUUAACACAUGCAUGUCGAACGGAAAGGCCCUGCUUGCAGGGUACUCGAGUGGCGAACGGGUGAGUAACACGUGGGUGAUCUGCCCUGCACUUCGGGAUAAGCCUGGGAAACUGGGUCUAAUACCGGAUAGGACCAUCGUUUAGUGUCGGUGGUGGAAAGUUUUUUCGGUGUGGGAUGAGCUCGCGGCCUAUCAGCUUGUUGGUGGGGUAAUGGCCUACCAAGGCGUCGACGGGUAGCCGGCCUGAGAGGGUGGACGGCCACAUUGGGACUGAGACACGGCCCAGACUCCUACGGGAGGCAGCAGUGGGGAAUAUUGCACAAUGGGCGCAAGCCUGAUGCAGCGACGCCGCGUGGGGGAUGACGGCCUUCGGGUUGUAAACUCCUUUCAACCAUGACGAAGCUUUCGGGUGACGGUAGUGGUAGAAGAAGCACCGGCUAACUAC
rnacentral:rRNA from 1 species